UCCCGAGUGCUGCAGAGUGGCCCCGCCCGCGCCCGUGGCGGGAGAGCCAAGCCGGCGCACCUCACGUGCUGGGGUAGGUCUCGCGGGCAGGUGGAGCGCAGGCCCAGAGGCCAAAGGAGUAAACUUUGGGUAGAGUUUAGGUCUUGGGGGCGCGACCUCUUCCGCCCCACCGUGCCCACCUCUCGGUCUUCUUUCUAUGAGUUCCUGCAGCAAGCCGGUGAUGUAGCCGCACCGACCUGGGCCCGCCCUAACUGUGACUCCACUCCCUCCACCCCCAACACCACCGUCACUUUGCCAGAGAGGAGCUCAAUUCCACAUUCCAACUUGGGGGACAUAGCAGCCGCUUGGUGGCAAGCGACAGGAAAAAGGACAAGGGCCCCAACUAAAUGGAAAGCACAUCUUGGGGCCAGAUCUCCCUGCUGAGACAGCUACGGUGGACCCGAGUUCCUGCCCGUCUCUGCCACCUCACCUUGUACUGGUGAUUCGGAUGUGCCAAAGAGAAGCUGGAAAGUGCUUGUUACUAUUGUCAGGUCAAUAGUAGCCUAACGCUACGUCACGAUGCCUACGUCAUUCACCUCACAUCACUCAUCUCAUCAUGUAGGCAUUUUAUCAUAUCACGUGGAGGGUGGACCACAAUUUAUGAAGGCAAGGGAUGCUAUGCUGCUUCUGUCUACCCAAGAACCCUCAGAAUACCAAGGCAAAUAAGUGUUCCAAGAGUCAGUCCAAAAGGUGAGUUUACACUGUACGUGUAAAGCACAAACAUUUCACAUGGGACUUUCUAGGUAACAAAGUAAGACAUGAUAUAAUUAACUUAGAUCCUAUUGAGUUUUUCUUCUCUUUAUUUGCAAGGUAAGUUGAUAAACUUCAAUUAUUAAUAGCCAGAAAUUGUGAUUCAGAAGUAGGUCUAUACUAUAGUGAGAUAUUUGAACUCUUAUAAUUAUGCAUGCAAAGUUUCUGUUAAAAAAAUAGCCAACAACAAAACUCUUUUCAUGAUUGUAGCAAGUGUCACUUUAUGGUUUUCUAGCCAACUAUUCAAUAUUAUCUUGUUUUUGGUACAAGUUAGGAUUUACUGAGGAUUAAGCAAAAGCUUAGAAGCACACAGUGCUUAGUAGCUACUCAAAGUAUAUGAUACUUAAAACAGUAAGUUCUAAAAUCUCCACUUAAAAAUGAGGGUAUAUGGAAUUGAGAUUUCAUUUCCUUAAAAGAACUUAGCACACCUAAGACAAUAAAAAGAACCUAGUAAAAAAGUGAUGUCUGAUGGUCCUCUGGCCAGGUAUUGAUUUAGGAACCACCGCUUUCAACUCCAGCUGGUAUUCCAAAGGGAGGAGUUUAAAAAAAAGAAAAAAAAGAAACAUACAACUAAUACAAUUUCUCUUACUCUUCACUUUUCUUUUUAUUAUUCAAAAGUCAAAUGUGUUAUUUUUAAAUCAUCCAUCCUCAAUUUUGAUUUAAUGUACCGUCAUUUUCCCAAGAUAUGAAAUUUCAGAAUCUCUUUGGAAUACUAAUUUCACGGUUCUACGUUUAAAAAUUUUAAAUUCCACUCUACUUCCCUGAAUUCUCAAGACAGUUGCUGAUGUAAAUUUUAAUAUAAAAUAUUUAGUCACAAAAUAGUAUUGCUUUUGUAUGCACAUAGUUGUAAGAUUACUUUGCUUUUGUCAAUAAAAACUAUACCAUCUUUCAUAAAACUCUAAACAAAUUAAGAACUGUGAUGUAGAACAAAAAUUACACAUGGUAAAACAGGUACCAGCACAACGUUAGCAUAUAUUACAUCAAAAAAAAGGUUUAAUGGUCCCAAAUAUAUAUACUCAACAACUAAGCAUACACUCAGGGGAGAAAAAAUCAAAAACAAAAUGAAACAAAAAAAA